rnacentral:rRNA from 1 species
UACGUAGGGUGCGAGCGUUAAUCGGAAUUACUGGGCGUAAAGCGUGCGCAGGCGGUGGCUCAAGUCAGGCGUGAAAUCCCCGGGCUUAACCUGGGAAUGGCGUUUGGGACUGGGGCGCUAGAGUGUGGCAGAGGGAGGUGGAAUUCCACGUGUAGCAGUGAAAUGCGUAGAGAUGUGGAGGAACACCGAUGGCGAAGGCAGCCUCCUGGGCCAGCACUGACGCUCAUGCACGAAAGCGUGGGGAGCAAACAGG